rnacentral:rRNA from 1 species
UACGUAGGCAGCGAGCGUUGUUCGGAGUUACUGGGCGUAAAGGGUGUGUAGGCGGUUCUCUAAGUUUGGUGUGAAAUCUCCCGGCUCAACCGGGAGGGUGCGCCGAAAACUGGAGGGCUAGAGUGCGGGAAGGGAGAGUAGAAUUCCUGGUGUAGCGGUGAAAUGCGUAGAUAUCAGGAGGAAUACCGGUGGUGCAGACGGCUCUCUGGACCGCGACUGACGCUGAGACACGAAGGCCAGGGGAGCAAACGGG